CCAGGAUAAAAAUUAACUUCAUCUGGAACCAGAGAGCUGGAGUGGAACCGACAGCCUCUCUGCUCAGAGGAACGUUUCCUGCUGAGGCUGCUCCUUCAGCUGCAAACAGGAAAUGGAAAAGUUUGUGGCCAGAAACCAAAGAAGCCAUGAAACUGAAAACACAGGAAACUCCUGACCACUAAAAUCAGAAGGUCUGAGGUAAAAACUCUUCGUCCAAACAGUCUAGACCCUCGGCUGCUGAGAAACUUUACUUCCUGGAUGCGGAGACUGAGGUUUGGAACGAUUUGGUCUGAUUUUACCGGAUCGCUGGUAAAGCCUCACGGAGGCUCCUCCUCUGCUGGGUUAGGGUAAACCGCUGACUGUCCGUUAGCUGUGACAGAGUAAUGCUACAGCUGCCCCAUGAAGGAAGCUAUGCUAUGAAGCUAACACAAAGCUACAUUACUAAGCUAACGGGUAAACAGACGUCCCCCACUGCAAAGAGAGAAGAGCUGAACAUCUUUGCCAGGAAUAAAAUGUCUGAAACAUUCUGACUUUAACUCAUUGGCCUGGAGGAAUCCAGCUCAAUGGGAGAAAUCCCUGCCUGAGCACUGAAGGCAGAUGAGAAUCAAGAACGACCAGAAUAGAUUUAUGCUAAAUGCAAUAAUUAAAUAUUGAACAAAAGAGAA